rnacentral:rRNA from 1 species
UACGUAGGGAGCGAGCGUUGUCCGGAUUCAUUGGGCGUAAAGCGCUCGUAGGCGGCUUUGCAAGUCGGGUGUGAAAACUCCAGGCUCAACCUGGAGACGCCACCCGAUACUGCCAUGGCUAGAGUCCGGUAGGGGACCACGGAAUUCCUGGUGUAGCGGUGAAAUGCGCAGAUAUCAGGAGGAACACCGGUGGCGAAGGCGGUGGUCUGGGCCGGAACUGACGCUGAGGAGCGAAAGCGUGGGGAGCGAACAGG